rnacentral:rRNA from 1 species
GCAUAUCAAUAAGCGGAGGAAAAGAAACUAACAAGGAUUCCCCUAGUAACUGCGAGUGAAGCGGGAAAAGCUCAAAUUUAAAAUCUGGUAGUCUUUGAUUGCCCGAGUUGUAGUCUGGAGAAGCGUUUUCCGUGUUGGACCGUGUACAAGUCUCUUGGAAUAGAGCGUCAUAGAGGGUGAGAAUCCCGUCUUUGACACGGACUGCCAAUGCUUUGUGAUGCGCUCUCAAAGAGUCGAGUUGUUUGGGAAUGCAGCUCAAAAUGGGUGGUAAAUUCCAUCUAAAGCUAAAUAUUGGCGAGAGACCGAUAGCGAACAAGUACCGUGAGGGAAAGAUGAAAAGCACUUGAAAGAGAGUUAAACAGUACGUGAAAUUGCUGAAAGGGAAACGAUUGAAGUCAGUCGCGUUGCUCAGAACUCAGCCUGGCUUUGCUGGUGCAUUUCUGAUAACGGGCCAGCAUCAAUUUUGAUCGUUGGAUAAAGGCCUUUGGAAUGUGGCAUCCUCGGAUGUGUUAUAGCCCUUGGUUGCAUACAACGGUUGGAUUGAGGUUCUCAGCACACCUUAUGGUCGGGGUUCGCCCACGCUUGUGCUUAGGAUGCUUGCGUAAUGGCUUUAAACGACCCGUCUUGAAACACGGACCAAGGAGUCUAACAUGCCUGCGAGUGUUUGGGUGGAAAACCCGAGCGCGUAAUGAAAGUGAAAGUUGGGAUCUCUGUCGUGGAGAGCACCGACGCCCGGACCAGAACUUCUGUGACGGAUCUGCGGUAGAGCAUGUAUGUUGGGACCCGAAAGAUGGUGAACUAUGCCUGAAUAGGGUGAAGCCAGAGGAAACUCUGGUGGAGGCUCGUAGCGAUUCUGACGUGCAAAUCGAUCGUCAAAUUUGGUAUAGGGCGAAAGACUAUCG